UGGCUAUGAGGAUAACUCUUAAAAUGAAUAGCAAUGAUCGCUUCAUACGCUAUUCUGAGCCAACA
rnacentral:snoRNA from 1 species